UAUUAGAUACUCAUCUAUACAGGUUAUCAGCAAAAAAAAAAAAAGAAGUUAAUUUAGGCGUUCCUUGAUCUUUGAUGAUAACACCUCAUGAGAGAGGUACUGUAAUGUCCCACCAUGCAAUGAUAAUAUUUUCAUCCAUCCAUCAGUACCUGUGUCCAUGCUGUCCAGGUCCAGGUGGUGAAGAACAAACGAUGAAUCAGUCCCAGCUGAUGGAUGAUCCUGAAGUGGUAGCAGGCUUUCUUUACAAAUGCAUAAAUCUGGCUUUCUUAUAGUUUAACAAAUUAGAAACUAUGUUUAAUGCAAUCUGCUAUUAGUGUAUGAUAAUCCAGUACCGGUGUGAAGAGUGUGGGUGUUGUAGUUGUUGAGCUAGGCAUAGGCGUCAUUUUAACCAGGGACGCCGGGGACAUGUCCCCGGCAAAAUUUGUGAUUGGCAGCUGUGUCCCCCCCACUUUAAAAAAAGCCUGCUGAUGAGGAUUUUUGUUUUACCAGCUCAGAUCUUAUACCAGGGGUCGGCAACCUGUUCCCAUCAAAGAGCCAUUAUUACCCGUUUCCCACGGUAAUUUUGGAUGGACCUUAAUAAGCAGUGACUUAAGUGAAGCAGGCUGUCAUGGUCUGUGGUGAGCUGUCAGCCUGUAACCAUGUUUUCUCCUGAGUACUGUUUUCACAGGUGGGCGUGUCUGAGAGCUCCCAGCUGCAGCUGAUCUCACCAUCAAGGUCCAGGGGAUUUAAGGAGCAGUGUGACACUUCACCACGCCGGAUGAUUACUCUUUUGGGUUCCUCACAAUCUCUCACCAGCUCCAGAACAAGACCCGGAUCUCAGCCUGCCUGACACACUGCUUCAUCCCCUGGCCGCCCGCUCUCAGCCGCUCACCUUCCAACGUCCAUUCCUGUUCCUACACCUCUGGACAAAACAAUAUCCUUACCUGUGGAUCUCCUCAGCUCACCCGGACCUAGCAACCUUCCUGUACAAAUACCACUACCUAGAAACAGUAAGACCAGUCUUUCCGACAACGUUUCCAUUUGUUUUCGCCUCAUAUUCACUCUGUCUCCCUCCUUAGAAUCUCCCCCCUGGAUUCCUGCUGCCAGUCCUGCGUCUCGUCUGCUCCCGUCUCUCACAUCGCUCUUUAUGUAGAAAUAAAAACCUUUUUACUUA